GACCGAGGGGGCAAGCGUUGCUCGGAAUCCCUGGGCGUAAAGGGCGCGUAGGCGGGAUGGCAAGUCAGUCGUGAAAUCUCUCGGCUCAACCGAGAAACGUCGGCUGAUACUGCCGUUCUUGAGGGAUGCAGAGGAGACUGGAAUUCCCGGUGUAGCGGUGAAAUGUGUAGAGAUCGGGAGGAACACCGGUGGCGAAGGCGGGUCUCUGGGCAGCUCCUGACGCUGAGGCGCGAAAGCGUGGGGAGCAAACAGG
rnacentral:rRNA from 1 species